GGUUAAUCUGUCCAACUUUUUGGGGUCAGUACACCCACGAGGCCACCUGUAUGCCUAGACAACAUCAGGAUAGCCUCUUAGAUGCCGCAAGGCAAGGAGAAGAAGGCCAUG
rnacentral:antisense_RNA from 1 species